UACGUAGGGUGCAAGCGUUGUCCGGAAUUAUUGGGCGUAAAGAGCUCGUAGGCGGCUUGUCGCGUCGGCUGUGAAAACCUGGGGCUCAACCCCGGGCCUGCAGCCGAUACGGGCAAGCUAGAAUUCGGUAGGGGAGACUGGAAUUCCUGGUGUAGCGGUGAAAUGCGCAGAUAUCAGGAGGAACACCAGUGGCGAAGGCGGCUCACUGGUCCGGUACUGACGCUGAGGUGCGAAAGCGUGGGGAGCAAACAGG
rnacentral:rRNA from 1 species